AGUGAACGCUGGCGGCGUGCUUAACACAUGCAAGUCGAACGAGAACGGAUUAUAGCUUGCUAUAAUUGUCAGCUAAGUGGCGCACGGGUGAGUAAUAUAUAGAUAACCUGCCCUCUAGAAAGGAAUAACAGUUGGAAACGACUGCUAAUGCCCUAUAUGCCUUUAAUACAUAAGUAUGCAAGGGAAACGCUUUAGUGCUAGAGGAUGGGUCUGUAUGGUAUCAGCUUGUUGGUGAGGUAAUGGCUCACCAAGGCUAUGACGCCUAACUGGUUUGAGAGGAUGAUCAGUCACACUGGAACUGAGACACGGUCCAGACUCCUACGGGAGGCAGCAGUGGGGAGUAUUGCACAAUGGACGAAAGUCUGAUGCAGCAACGCCGCGUGGAGGAUGACACAUUUCGGUGCGUAAACUCCUUUUAUAUAGGAAGAUAAUGACGGUACUAUAUGAAUAAGCACCGGCUAACUCCGUGCCAGCCGCCGCCGUAAAAC
rnacentral:rRNA from 1 species